GAUGUUCAUCAGGAGAGGUCUGAGCAAUCAGACCCGGCAACCUGGGCGGAAGCCCCAAGGUGCCUCCCAAUCGAGCCUUCGGGUCUGAAAGGGGAUGUGGUCAGCAAUAACUGGCAACGAAACUUCCUGGA
rnacentral:ncRNA from 1 species